UUUGCUACCAGUAAGGAAAACAAGGCAGGCCUCCCAUGUUUGGCCUGCCGGGUAACAAUACCUUGACCAAACUUUGUCAUCCCACUUUGUGAUGUAGUUCAUCACCUUCAUAAAUAUCUGGUCCACCAGAGACUUUUUGCCCCUCUCUCAGGUAGAGCCCUGUUGUCCUCAAGAGACAAAAAUCUGGAAAGCAGCAGAGGCUCGCUGUCAGCAUAACCAAAAAAGAGAGAGGAAAAGACCCCAGAAGAGUUUCCUCGCGCAAGAGAUCCAGGGCGGGGAAGUUCAUUUUAACUUGCUGCUUAUGUUGCAUUUGUGUCUCUCCACCGAAAUCACCAGCAGGGCUGGCAAUUGAUGACAACUCCAAAGAGGGAAAAGAGUCAGAGGCAUAACAUUACCAGCUGCGUUUAUACCACGCCAAAGGAAUGACCAGGAAACAAGAAUAACGGUGAAUGAUCUGGAGCUGCCCCGCCUCUCCUUCCUCCUCCUGCACCGCAGGACUAGAGAAGUUCCCUGACUGCCCACAAUAUUUUCCUCUGGGCUUGAGGUGGGACUGCAAUUUCCAGAGUCCUCUGAGGCAGCUCAAAUGAUACCAAAAUCAGCCGCGAAGAUUAUAUAUGCACAGUAC